CUAAGAAUAUUCCGCAAUGGACGGAAGUCUGACGGAGCGACGCCGCGUGGAUGACGAAGGCCGAAAGGUUGUAAAGUUCUUUUGCUGGGGAAGAAUAACCGCAGGAGGGAAUGCCUGUGGGAUGACAAGAACCGGCGAAUAAGCCCCGGCCAACUACGUGCCAGCAGCCGCGGUAAUACGUAGGGGGCAAGCGUUGUCCGGAUUUACUGGGUGUAAAGGGCGCGCAGGCGGGAUAAAAAGUCAGUGGUGAAAUCCUACAGCUUAACUGUAGAACUGCCUUUGAUACUUUUAUUCUUGAGUUCGGGAGAGAGAGACGGAAUUCCAGGUGUAGUGGUGAAAUACGUAGAUAUCUGGAAGAACACCAGUUGCGAAGGCGGUCUCUUGGUCCGACACUGACGCUGAGGCGCGAAAGCGUGGGGAGCAAACA
rnacentral:rRNA from 1 species